rnacentral:rRNA from 1 species
AUGGGCUGGGUGCAGGACCCUCAUAUUCAAGAGCUGCUUCUCAAGCAGACGGAUAACGCAAGAGCUGCCGCCCGAGAGAAAGCCAAGAUGGAUCAACUUGAGUUAGACGCGGUUACUCCAUUGUAUGAAGGAUGCAGGCCCGAGGAUACCCGCCUGAAAGUAACGCUCAUGGCUCUGGAGAUGAAGGUAAAACACAAAAUGACCGACGCAUGCUUCGACGAGAACAUGUCAUUCUGGCACGAACGUCUUCCCAAGGGGAACAAGUGCCCGACCAGUUUGGAGGAGGCGAAGAAAAUCGUGUGUCCUCUGGAUUUACCGCACGUGAAAUACCAUGUGUGCAUGAACAAUUGCAUCAUUUAUCGGGACGAGCGCGCGGAGUCUACCAUAUGUCCGGUGUGCGGUGUCACUCGAUACAAGAAGAGGAAGAAAGCUCCUCGAAAAGUGGUGUGGUACUUUCCGAUCACUCCUCGUCUGCAGCGGUAUUUCGCGGACCCUAAGGUAGCAAAGCUCCUGCGUUGGCACACGGAUAGGGAGGAGAAGAAGCGAGAAGAUGACGCAAAUGAUCCGGAGAUAGAUAAAAAAGACAAGAUGUUGAGUCACCCUAAGGAUGCAAGCCAGUGGCAAGCGUUGAACUUCGAAUACCCAGAAUUUGGGAACGAUCCAAGGAACAUCAUGCUGGGCGCGAGCACCGAUGGAGUCAAUCCGUUUGGCAGCCAGAGAAGCACACAUAGCACCUGGCCUGUGUUCGUGUGGAUGUACAACCUUCCCCCCUGGUUGUGCAUGAAGAGGAAGUACAUUCACAUGAGUAUGCUAAUUGAAGGGCCGAAACAACCAGGGAACGACAUCAAUCUGUAUCUGGGGCUGCUGAAAGAGGAGAUUGACAUGCUGUGGAAAACGCUAGCCAAUACGUGGGACACCGCAGAGAAAGAAUAUUUCCCUAUGAGAGCCGCACUGCUCACGAUGGUGCACGACUAUCUCGGUUACGGAUAUCUUGCGGGCCAGGUAGUCCACGGAUUUUCUGGAUGCGUAAGGUGCAUGGAUGACACAACGUAUCGCCAGCUAGAUAGAGAUCCCGGGUCUUUGAAAACCGUGUUCAUGGGACAUCGAAGGUGGCUUCGCGACGAUGACCCAUGGAGGAAACGCAAGGAUCUGUUCGAUGGUGAAACCGAACCCCGAAAACGCCCGUGUACGAGGAGCGGCGAGGAAAUAGACAAGCUGUUGAAAAAUUGGAAAGACUGCCCACUGCCGGGAAAGAAGCAAAAGGCGCCAGAGCCGCUACUGAAGGUAUGGAAAACGAGGUCUGUUUUCUGGGACUUGUCGUACUGGAAGAUCCACCGUGUGCCUCACAGCCUUGAUGUCAUGCAUAUCACGAAGAACGUGUGCGAGAGUCUGCUUGGUACCCUGCUCAACAUGCCAGAGAGGACCAAAGAUGGGCCGAAAGCAAGGGCAGACUUGAAAUCAAUGGGCAUCAGGCAGGAGCUUCACGCUAUAUAUGAUGAUGAUGAUGAUGAUGAUGAUGAUGAUGAUGAUGAUGAUGAGGCGAAGCAGGACACAGAAAGUCGUCGCAAAGGCAAAAAGGCCAAGAAGACCGGAAAUGACUACCCUCUCGCGUGCUUCACUCUAAGCCAGGAGGAGAUCGAGCAGUUUUUCACCUGCCUCCUAGGAGUAAAACUUCCUUACGGUUACGCGGGGAAGAUAAGCAAAUACCUAGACCCAACGAAGCAGAAGUUCAGCAGGAUGAAGUCUCACGACUGUCACGUGCUGAUGACGCAGAUACUUCCAGUUGCAAUCCGUGGGAUCAUGGACGCGCACGUCCGUGAAAUGCUAUUUGGCCUAUGCAAGUUCUUCGACGUCAUCUCUCGGAAGUCGAUUGGCGUGAGGCAACUCAGAAGGCUACAGGAAGAGAUCGUGGUGAUACUAUGCGAGCUUGAGAUGUACUUCCCGCCCGCAUUCUUCGACGUUAUGGUGCAUCUGUUGGUCCAUAUAGUGGAGGAUAUCAUCCAACUCGGGCCGAGGUUCCUGCACAGCAUGAUGCCGUUCGAAAGGAUGAAUGGUGUCAUCAAAGGAUACGUUCGCAACAUGUCACGUCUAGAGGGAAGCAUAGCCAGGGGCUUUCUGACCAAAGAGUGCAUCUCCUACUGCACGAAUUAUCUAGGCAUCGAGAACCCCGUUGGUCUGCCCGUCAACAGGCACCUCGGCAGGCUCGCUGGAUGGGGUCACCGUGAGGGUCGCCGCGAAAUGCAUGUUGACUUCGAGGGUCGACUCGCCGACUUUGAAAGAGCAAACCUAGUCGCGCUACACCACAUAGACGUGGUCGAUCCUUGGGUGGUAGAGCACAAAACCUUUAUUAAGAAGACGUACAAUGAUCGAGGCCAACAGAGGACGGACGGAGAUAUACUCAAAGAGCACAACUCAUGUUUCACGUGUUGGUUCAAGCAGAAGCUUCUGUCGUACCCUUUACAUGAGGAUUUUUCCGCGGAAGAACAACUCAUAUUCGCCUUGUCACAGGGCGCCGAGCACAACCUGAUGACCUAUGAGGCGUACGAUAUCAACGGCUACACAUUCUACACCGAGGCCAAGGACAUGAAGAGCGAUGGUUAUCAGAACUCCGGGGUAACGAUGGAAUCCUACACCGGUAACAACAAGGACAGAUACUACGGAAGGAUCGAGGAGAUCUGGGAGCUGAGCUACGCUGGAGAGAAGGUCCCGAUGUUCCGUGUCAGAUGGGCCAAGAGCGUCCUAAAAGAAGACCGGUAUUUCACCACCAUGGUUAUACCCGAAGCCAAAUCCAAGACCGCGGGCGCAAAAGUCACCGCGAAAAAUGAGCCAUGGGUACUGGCUUCCCAAGUGGACCAAUGCUUCUUCAUUACCGACCCGUCAAAGACCAGUCGUGUUGUCGUGAGGAGAGGCAAAAGGAAGAUCAUCGGAAUGGAUGGAGUAGCCAAUGAGCAAGACUUCGACAAGUACGGCGACCCGAGGAUCGAACAUGACGACGAUGAUGAAGUAGCAGCAUACACCACAAGAAGAAGCAGGACCACCCUACCUAAAGGACAUCCGUUCCACAGAAGAACUCCAUUUGCGAAAAAGAAGGGCAAGAAGAUUGUUAACAGAUAG